rnacentral:ncRNA from 1 species
GAAAAUUUACCGCCGGGUAAAUAAAAGCGUUGAUCCUGUAUCAUUAGGCCAUAGAAGAUACAGGUUCAGCGCUUUUCUUUUG